rnacentral:misc_RNA from 1 species
GAUGAAGAACGCAGCGAAAUGCGAUAAGUAGUGUGAAUUGCAGAAUUCAGUGAAUCAUCGAAUCUUUGAACGCACAUUGCGCCCUUUGGUAUUCCUUAGGGCAUGCCUGUUCGAGCGUCAUUUAAACCUUCAAGCUAAGCUUGGUGUUGGGUGACUGUCCGCUUCACUGCGGACUCGCCUCAAAAUUAUUGGCGGCCGGUACAUUGGCUUCGAGCGCAGCAGAAACGCGAACUCGGGCCCGUCGUAUUGGCUCCCAGAAGCUAUCUUCACAAUUUUGACAUCGGAUCAGGUAGGGAUACCCGCUGAACUUAAGCAUAUCAAUAAGCGGAGGA